rnacentral:rRNA from 1 species
UGGCGGACGGGUGAGUAAUGUCUGGGAAACUGCCUGAUGGAGGGGGAUAACUACUGGAAACGGUAGCUAAUACCGCAUAACGUCGCAAGACCAAANAGGGGGACCUUCGGGCCUCUUGCCAUCGGAUGUGCCCAGAUGGGAUUAGCUAGUAGGUGGGGUAAAGGGCUCACCUAGGCGACGAUCCCUAGCUGGUCUGAGAGGAUGACCAGCCACACUGGAACUGAGACACGGUCCAGACUCCUACGGGAGGCAGCAUG